rnacentral:rRNA from 1 species
UACUCCUACGGGAGGCAGCAGUGGGGAAUAUUGGACAAUGGGCGCAAGCCUGAUCCAGCCAUGCCGCGUGAGUGAUGAAGGCCCUAGGGUUGUAAAGCUCUUUCACCGGUGAAGAUAAUGACGGUAACCGGAGAAGAAGCCCCGGCUAACUUCGUGCCAGCAGCCGCGGUAAU